GCAGACAUAGUUUAGCAAAAACGUUAGAUUGUGAUUCUAAAAACAGGGGUUAAACCCCCCUUGUCCGCC
rnacentral:tRNA from 1 species